rnacentral:lncRNA from 10 species
CCAGAGCCUGAGCUCUCACUUGCUUGUGCUCACCAGGAGUGACCGAAGAUCCGACGCUCUGGCUUCCCAAGAUGGAACCCAGUACUUGACUCCAAGCAUCACAGGUUCCCUGGUGAAGACUCUAGUCCAAUAUAAAUCACCAGAAGUGCAAGGGAAGUUGGAUCUCACUCGUCUGUCCCGUCAGGACUCAGCUUGGGGGUAGUCAAGGCUUCUCCACAGGAUGAUGUGGGCACUGGGAUUCGCUGGGGGCAGUCCGCAGCCUCCGUUCUUCUCUAGCUUGGGAGAGAAGAAAGGCACAGCCAUGGCCCUGGCCCUGGCCCUGCAUGAGGCAGCCACAUGCCUACCCUGGUGGUGACUGUCUACUCUUCUGACAGAUUUUCUUUCUCAUUCUCUUGAUGAGGCAACCCUAAGGUUUUUACUAAUAGUGACUCUUACAAAUGAGGGGCUUCAAAUGUAAUCCGGAGGAGAAAAGGUGGUUUAGAGACAGCGUGAGGAGAGCUGUAGGGUACCCCAAUGCCAGUCACUGCAUUCAGCAAAUAUCAACAUUGAUUUAAUGCCUGCCCUGUACCUGGUACUAUGUCCACAAGUACAUGAGUAGGACAAAGUCCCUGUUUUCUAAGAGCUUGAAAGCUACUGGAGAAGACAGGGAGGCAAGCAUGUAUUUUUAGCAUAUGAUAAUGGUUAUAAUAAAGGAUGAACAAAACUUGAUAGGGACCCAGAGUAAAGACCUCUUGUCUGUUCUGGAUGAAAGGGAGUUUCUGAAGGGGUGACACUUGCCCCCAGAAGGAAAAGAUGACCAAGAGAUCAACGGGGAGAGGAGAUGAGAAUGUGGAUACAGCAAGGUGUUGGGGGCUUUCCGAGCCCAGGAAACAGCACACAGAAACCAACAGGAAAUCAACCUGGCAUGCCAACAAGUGUGAUCCCUAAAUCCUCUCACCUUCAGGUUUUCCUCUAGACAACAGUUCUUCCUCCAAGCUGCCCUCUAUGAUUAUCCCCACC